AUUGAACGCUGGCGGCAUGCCUUACACAUGCAAGUCGAACGGCAGCGGGGACUUCGGUCCGCCGGCGAGUGGCGAACGGGUGAGUAAAGUAUCGGAACGUACCUUUCAGUGGGGGAUAACGUAGCGAAAGUUACGCUAAUACCGCAUAUUCUGUGAGCAGGAAAGCAGGGGAUCGCAAGACCUUGCGCUGAUUGAGCGGCUGAUAUCAGAUUAGAUAGUUGGUGAGGUAACGGAUCACCAAGGCGACGAUCUGUAGCGGGUCUGAGAGGAUGAUCCGCCACACGGGAACUGAGGCACGGGCCAGACUCGUACGGGAGUCAGCAGUGGGGAAUGUUGGACAAUGGGGGCAACCCUGAUCCAGCCAUGCCGCGUGGGUGAAGAAGGCCUUCGGGUUGUAAAGCUCUUUCGGCCGGGAAGAAAUCGUAUGGGUUAAUACCCUGUGCGGAUGACGGUACCGGCAUAAGAAGCACCGGCUAACUACGUGCCAGCCGCCGCAGUAAAAC
rnacentral:rRNA from 1 species